rnacentral:rRNA from 1 species
GACAGAGGGUGCAAACGUUGCUCGGAAUCACUGGGCGUAAAGGGCGUGUAGGCGGGAAUGUAAGUCGGGCGUGAAAUCCCUAGGCUCAACCUAGGAACUGCACUCGAAACUGCGUUUCUUGAGUACUGGAGAGGAAAGCGGAAUACCUGGUGUAGAGGUGAAAUUCGUAGAUAUCAGGUGGAACACCAGCGGCGGAAGGCGGACUUUCUGG